UACGUAGGGCGCGAGCGUUAUCCGGAAUUAUUGGGCGUAAAGAGCUCGUAGGCGGCCUGUCGCGUCGGCUGUGAAAACUCAGGGCUCAACCCUGAGCCUGCAGUCGAUACGGGCAGGCUAGAGUCCGGCAGGGGAGACUGGAAUUCCUGGUGUAGCGGUGAAAUGCGCAGAUAUCAGGAGGAACACCGGUGGCGAAGGCGGGUCUCUGGGCCGGAACUGACGCUGAGGAGCGAAAGCGUGGGGAGCGAACAGG
rnacentral:rRNA from 1 species